UCUUCAAGGUUUUGUCCCUCGUCUCUAAGUUCCACCGUCGCCCCAACUCCCAAUCCCAACUCCCAGGCAAGUGUCUGCGCCCUGAGAUGCACUCCACAGGUGUGCAUCCCCACUUCGCUUCUGGUCGGCUCAGGGAUCUAUGAAAUUGGGGCUGUCCCAGAUCAGCUUUUGGGAACGGGGAAUUAAUUCAGCCAUUCAUUCAAUGAGCAUGAAUUGGGCACUUGCUGUAUGCAGGAGCUUGUGCUUAGUUGGGUUGUGGAGACCAUACUUUCCAACCAUCUCCUGUCAUCUAGACCACCUGACUUGUGCGUUUCUUGUUCCAAGGUUCCGGCAAUAACAGGAAAAAUAAUGACAAGAGAGAGAGAAACAUCGGAUGUUAGAGAACCAUUGAUGGGUUGCCCCUGUAUGCUCCCCACCCGGGGAUCAAACCUGCAACUUAGGGUCACACCCAGGGCAUCGCAUUCCAUUUCGUUAUCAUGUCACCUCAGUCUCCUGUGGACUACGACGAUGUCUCAGACUUCGUUUUGAUGACCGUGGCAGUUUUGAGGAGUCCGGGGCAGGCCGGCCCCAUGGGCUUGCUUCUCAUGAGUGGAACGCAGUGGACAUGAUGCUGAGUGACUCUCGCUGUCUUAGAACUCCACCUUGGGACUCCGGAGCCACCACCCUGGAGUGACUUCAUGGGGACAGAAGAGAGGCCAAGGAGCCUCUUGCACCAAUAUGUGAAUUAAGAAAGCUUCAAGAUAGCCCCUGACCGAGCCACCCCCUGACUGUGGCCUCAUGAGAGACUCUGAGCAAGAAUUACCUCCCUGAAUUGCUCUUCAAUUCCUGUUCACAGAUCCUCUGAUAAAUACUCAUUGUUUUUUUUGUAAGAUAUAAAAAAAACUUUAAAAAUUAUUUAUUUAGUUAUUUUAGACAGAACAGAAGGGAGGGAGAAAGAGAGGGAGAGAAACAUCGUGUGGUUGUUUCUUGCUCACCCCCUACC